rnacentral:rRNA from 1 species
UACGUAGGGUGCAAGCGUUGUCCGGAAUUAUUGGGCGUAAAGAGUUCGUAGGCGGUUUGUCGCGUCCGUUGUGAAAGUCCGGGGCUCAACUCCGGAUCUGCGGUGGGUACGGGCAGACUAGAGUGAUGUAGGGGAGACUGGAAUUCCUGGUGUAGCGGUGAAAUGCGCAGAUAUCAGGAGGAACACCGAUGGCGAAGGCAGGUCUCUGGGCAUUAACUGACGCUGAGGAGCGAAAGCAUGGGGAGCGAACAGG